GAUGAACGCUAGCGGCAGGCCUAACACAUGCAAGUCGAGGGAUAAGCUUUCGGGCUGAAACCGGCGUACGGGUGCGUAACGCGUAUACAAUCUGCCUUUCACUGGGGGAUAGCCCGAAGAAAUUUGGAUUAAUACCCCAUAGAAUAAUGAUAUGGCAUCAUAUUAUUAUUAAAGCUACGGUGGUGAAAGAUGAGUAUGCGUUCUAUUAGCUAGUUGGAGAGGUAACGGCUCCCCAAGGCAACGAUAGAUAGGGGUUCUGAGAGGGAUGUCCCCCACACUGGUACUGAGAUACGGACCAGACUCCUACGGGAGGCAGCAGUGAGGAAUAUUGGACAAUGGUCGGAAGACUGAUCCAGCCAUGCCGCGUGCAGGAUGAAGGUCUUAUGGAUUGUAAACUGCUUUUGCAGGGGAAGAAUAAGGACUACGAGUAGUUUGAUGACGGUACUCUGUGAAUAAGCAUCGGCUAACUCCGUGCCAGCAGCCGCGGUAAUACGGAGGAUGCGAGCGUUAUCCGGAAUCAUUGGGUUUAAAGGGUCUGUAGGCGGGCUGGUAAGUCAGAGGUGAAAGCGCUUAGCUCAACUAAGCAACUGCCUUUGAAACUGCUGGUCUUGAAUGGUUGUGAAGUAGUUGGAAUGUGUAGUGUAGCGGUGAAAUGCUUAGAUAUUACACAGAACACCGAUAGCGAAGGCAUAUUACUAACAAUUAAUUGACGCUGAUGGACGAAAGCGUGGGGAGCGAACAGG
rnacentral:rRNA from 1 species